CAGAAAAUAGUUUAUGAAAAAUCAUAAUUUUGGAGAUUAUAGAUACACAGUUAGUGUUUUUCUGA
rnacentral:tRNA from 1 species